UCUGCGCGGCGGCCAGGAGCCGUCCGCGGCCUGAGGCGGCGCGACGGCCCGCCGCGGUUUCAGCCGCGGCGUGGCGC
rnacentral:tRNA from 2 species